AUGUUUACUCCAACAUCAACCAUGCAUAUAGAGCCAUACCCCUCCCCCACCUCGGUCAGUCCAACCACCUCUCCCUCCUGCUCUCCCCAGCCUACACCCCCCUCAGACGCAGUGCCAGGCCCACCACAAAGACUGUUACAACCUGGCCUGAAAAUGCUCUCUCCAAACUACUCUGCUUCACAGGGACAGACUGGGACAUAUUUGAACACCAGGACCUGGAAACCUUCACAGGAUCAGGACUACAUCAAGUUCUGUACUGCAAAUGUGACAGUGGACAAAAACAUUCGGGUUUUCCCAAACCAAAAACCCUGGAUGACCAGCGAGGUCCGCUCACUCCUCAAAGCCCAUGAUGCCGCCUUCAGGUCAGGUGACAGAGCUCUGUACAAGGCUGCUCGAGCUGACCUGAAAAGGGGGAUUAAAAAAGCCAAGUCAGACCACAAAAGGAACAUCGAGUCCCACCUGUCCAGCAACAACACACGGGAGGUGUGGCAGGGAAUGCAAGACAUCAUCAACCACAGAGGCAGCACUGCGAAAACAGAAAACCUGAGUGUGCAGCUGGCAGAGGAAAUAAACACCUUCUUUGCCUGCUUUGAAACACCACAACAGCAGCACUCAUCUGCCUCAGCCCUGCUCCCAUCCUCAUCCUCACCUGGUUCCUGCACCGCUCCACUCACUGUAACGGAGCACGAUGUCAGACGUGUGCUCCUAGCAGUGAACCCCAGGAAGGCGGGCGGUCCAGACGGAGUACCUGGCAAGGUACUAAGAGCAUGCGCACACCAGCUCACCCUUAUCUUCACCAGACUCUUCAACCUCUCACUGGAUCAGGCAGCCAUCCCAUCCUGUCUAAAAUCAGCCACAAUCAUCCCAGUGCCGAAGAAGUCUCCCAUCUCCAGCCUGAAUGAUUACCGCCCUGUGGCCCUCACACCGGUAAUCAUGAAAUGCUUUGAGAGACUAGUCCUUCAGCACAUCAAGGAUUACCUCCCCCCAGAAUUCAACCCCCACCAGUUUGCAUACCGCACAAACAGAUCCACAGAAGACGCCCUCGCCACAGCCCUCCACGCUGUGUUGAGUCACCUAGAGCAGCGGCAGAGCUACGUCCGAAUGCUCUUCGUGGACUACAGCUCAGCCUUUGAUACAGUCAUCCCGGACAUCCUCAUCACCAAACUGGUCACUCUUGGCCUCCCUCCUCUCACAUGUGCCUGGAUAAAGGACUUUCUCACAAACCGGCCCCCAGACUGGAAGACUCGGCCCUCAUCUCUCCUCCACUCGCACACUGAGCACCGGCUCCCCACAGGGCUGUGUGCUGAGCCCGCUCCUGUAUUCUCUCUACACCCACGACUGCAGUUCGACUCACAACAACACUCUCAUCAUCAAGUUUGCUGA
rnacentral:lncRNA from 1 species